CAUAACACACUACGGGGGUAAUUCCCCUUCCUUUUUGGCUUUUCAUUCCUCCCCUUCUCUUCUUUUUUUAUGACGACCCCGUCUGAGUUGGAGAGAGAGCGAAGCAAAAGCUCCAGAACCAGACAGAAGGGUCUGAAAACCAGACACGGACGAACCCCUCGCUCGCGUCGGUGGCAAAGCAAGUAAUCUGUUCUCGAAAUGGCGGUCUUAGUUUUUUCUUCCCCACGUUCGUUCUCCCUGGAAAAGAGAAACAAGCAAAACUUUCGCAGCAGCUGCUACGAAAUCAGGUAAUAAUAACCGAAACUACUGCUGUUUUUUUAAAGCUAGUAUUCCUCUCUCUUUUUUUUACGUGUGGGGGCUGUGCUGCUUGCGCCGUGUGGCUACAUGUGGGUGUGUAAAAGUCGUUUCUACCAUUUUUUUGGGUUCCUACAAGUCUUAACUGGGGAGGGUUGAUUAACUAGUGACUUAAAACAAUUGGUAGUUGAAUUAAUCGUAGCUAAUGUUUUCAAUUGUGGUACCGGUAAAAGUUAAUGCGGAAAUGAAUUCAAGACCAUGGUUCGGGCGAAAGGUUCAACGACUUACAUCAAAGGGAGAAGGGGUGGGAACGCGCGCGCGCACACACACGCAGAGGGUUGGAACUCUACUUGGUGGUAGCCCUUUGUUCGAUUACCAACGGCCCUGCUAUCUCCUGUCCUUUCCCUGACUAAAAAGUGGGAAAGUGGAAUGAGGGAAUAGUGCGACUGCCAGCGCCUCUAGCUGUCGAGUUUCUCAGUAGCUCUUGAGGGUCACCGCAGAAGCCGGGACAAAAAGCAGACAACUGGCUUGUUUCUCACAGUUCUUGAAACUCUUGCCCUGUUUUUUUUUCGUGCUCAUUAAAAGGCAUGGACAGCUUCCAUUUUUUCUGUGUAUAGUGAUGCAACAUUCAUGUUAAAAAUAUCGCUUGAACAUCUCGUAAAUGUACUCGCUACAAUAGUCUUGUAGAAUGUGUGGGAAGAUCUUGUCUUUUGAACUUAACAAAAAAAGAAAAGAGAUGGAUGUUCCGGUGCGGAAAUGCCAGACCUCGAAAAGCUUCCGGGUGAAUUUCUUAGACUUCUGGAAGGUCCCACAGAAAUGAUAGUACUUCUUUUAGACAGUCUUGCGUCAGCCUUUUUCUUAGGCCCCGCCUCCGUCCUUUUCCGUCAAUGUCCUGACCAUUUACGGUCCACGUCUGUGGCAUAGAAAUAUUCAAAAAUGUUAUCAUUAAAAAGAAAUUCUUUGAUAAGACGUCUACCUUUUUUUUUUAGAAAGCGUGGAGAAACCAUUAGGUGUUGCUAUAUUUACCCGUCUGCGUAAUGAUUUGGGAGGGUGUUUUUUUUUUUCUUUUAAGGAUCUAAAAGGAGAAAAGUCGAUGACCUGGGCUGAAAUGUACCCAUCGCCAGCGACUGAUUCUGACGACCUUGAAGAAAAAGGAAACAACCAGCUGGAUUAGCCAAGGACGGGGUGGAAGGUAGCAACACCCAAAUGUUACAGAGUCCUGCACGUGCCCAGUCGCAUCAUUCAUGAAACGACCUCCGUUCCGGGGCGAAAACACUUGGUCGGAUUAUUGUGUUUCGUUUCGCUUUCAGAAACAAAGUUUCUCUUCCCUUCUCCCCCCUGCGUUUUUGCCAACAGUAAAAAAAAACCUUUUGCACACACACAGAACCGGUUCGAUAACCUAAAGUUGCUGGUUGUCAUUCGAAAACCAAGAAGAAAAUGUUAAGUGGUUUUACAGCGAGGGGAAAGCCAAAGAGAGAAGUGUCUUGUCAGAAUCCAUGAUCGAGUAUAUUGGUGAAAAACAGAAAAAGGCGAGGAAGAAGGUUUCAAGUUUCACGGUGGCUGGAAGGGGAGCUUGAGGGCAGGUGGAACGGAAAUGGGUGGGAGGUUACUUUAACUAACUUAUCACGUGGCCGUGGUUUAUGAAUAUAUCAGAUGGUCCCUUUUUUUUUGUCUUCACUCGCCCACCGAUGAGUAUCUAUUUGAGGUACGUUACAGGCCACACGACAUUCGUCUGCUAGUGACGUCACUCCCCCGCUCUGCUAUAGAGGGAAUGACAUUUUUAGUGCGUGUGUGGAAGAGUCGAGACAACAGAAAUCGUUGAGUCACCAGGCCGAGUCUGAUAGGUCAACAACUGACAGAUUUCACCAUCGUGAGUCGGCAUCAUGAUUCACCACCCUCGUCUACUUUCUACAUGACUGGAGGAAAAGUUGACCACACCAUGUUGAAAUGUGUGCAAUAAAGGCGCAAUGCAAACACCUGGUGGUGUGUGAUGCUUUUGGCAGGAAUGCUGUUGCCCCGUUGAUUAGAUCACAAAAGGAAGGUCGGCCCUGACGUCGUGACGUCAUUUCGCCUCGCCGACAUUCCAGUGAUUUCCACCGAAAACCGUUUGCGUGUGUGGGUUGGCGGAAGAGAGAGAGGGAAGGAAAAGUUAGAAGGAAGAAACGAAAGAAAAAAAAAGCCAGACAGACGGGGUGUGUGGGUCCGAGAGAAAGGAGGAGCUCCCACGCCAUGGAAAGCCCGCCCACUUUUCUCUGGUUAGUGGAGCUGUGUCACAAUAGUAGCCAAAGCCAAGACUCGCUGCAGAUUCACCAACCAGUCUUCAUCCGGCUGUUCUCCCGUUAACACUUGCAUAUCUCUCGCUCUCGAGUGUCAGCCGUAAUCCUUAACUUAAGGUUUACAUUUAACUUUAAAUAUUACUUGUUUUGGUUUUUAGUGUCAUCAAUUUGAAAAUUAUUUGUGAUUUAAUCAAGUACCAUUUCUUCGACACAUAACUGGCUACUCCUCGUGCUGCGACAGGUGCUUCCGGCUGUGUUCAAUAUUGCGAGUCAGGUACCUGAAGUAGCGCGCGGAGUGGUUCGGAACGAUCGCCAUUUUACCGGUGCUGCCGCCGCCAUCCAUUCCCUCCCCUUCUCCAUUGCUUCGUUGUGAAUUCUCAACCGCCGAUUGGCCUCAUUCCCAACUUGUCAUCGAUCCAGGAUGUUAGUAAAUGCCAUAUCACCUUUAAUCUAUUGAACGAAAAAAAGAUUUGCUGUGAUGCAACUUAUUUUUGUUCCCCCGAUUUGUCACUGAGCCGUCUGGUGGAUUACGUAACGAAGGCUUUUCUUAUUAUAUUCGCUUCGUUUCAAGUGAUAAUUCCAUUGUGUUUCGUGGUUUGCAACUUGAUUUAACAAGUAGACAACGCCCAGAAAAGAGAAGCACCUGUUGUUCAUUGUACUUCAUCAGGUGCUCUGGUCAGUCGUACAUGAACGUUUCCUUCAUCUAAGGAAAUCACAUUCCCGGCACCUGCUGGAGUGCAAUUGAUGCGAAAGUGCACUUGACAUCCUUCGAUUUUCUCUGAAAUAAUGGUCAUUUUUAAUGUGGUUUAGCUGUCAUGGACUUGAUGUAAAUUUGUUGUUUUUUGAAUACAUAAAUUUCGACCUCGC